rnacentral:rRNA from 1 species
GAUGAACGCUAGCGGCAGGCCUAAUACAUGCAAGUCGAACGGGAUUAAGAGGCUUGCUUCUUAUGAGAGUGGCGCACGGGUGCGUAACACGUAUGCAACCUACCUUCAACUGGGGGAUAGCCUUCCGAAAGGGAGACUAAUACCGCAUAACAUCAUUGAGUGGCAUCACUUGAGUAUCAAACGUCAGGGUCGAAGAUGGGCAUGCGUCCUAUUAGUUUGUUGGUGAGGUAACGGCUCACCAAGACUACGAUCGGGAGGGGAUUUGAGAGGAUGGCCCGCGACACUGGUACUGAGACACGGACCAGACUCCUACGGGAGGCAGCAGUAAGGAAUAUUGGUCAAUGGACGGAAGUCUGAACCAGCCAUGCCGCGUGCAGGAAGACGGUCCUCUGGAUUGUAAACUGCUUUUGUUAGGGAAGAAACAACUCUACGUGUAGAGUCUUGACGGUACUGUAGGAAUGAGGAUCGGCUAACUCCGUGCCAGCAGCCGCAGUAAGAC